GUAGAGAUCAUCUUUGGGGACUGGAGUAAAACUCAAAUCUCCAAAGUCUUUUAGGUGGCAGCCUGGAAGCAAAUGAGGGAUGACAAGAUGAAUUUUCUGUGCUAUCUCCAACUCUUAACUAGCCUGGGCCACAAUGAUAAUACGUGACAAAGUACACAUCAUAAUCAUUUUGUCACAGUAAAAUUUAAAAUGUCAAAUGAUUGUGGGAAGAUUAUCUCGAUCCUAUUAUGAACAGUUUUGCAGAUGUUGGAAACUGAAACUAAGAGAUAUCGAUUGACUUAACCCAACAAUAAAAAAAUGGUUAACAAUUAGACCUCAGAUAUCCCGGAGUGAUAGAGUAGAAAUAAAAUAUCAAAAAGAACCAACAAUUUUAAAGAAAAUUAAGAACCAACAAUUUUAAAGGAAAUUAAGUACUAUUAAUUUAGCAAAAAAUACACAAAGAGAGUCUCAUUUUUUUAAACUUUCUUUUUGUAGAAAUGGGGUCUUGCUAUGUUGCCCCAGCUGGUCUCAAACUUCUGACCUCAACUGAUCCUCCCACCUCAUCCUCCCAAAGUGCUGGGAUUAUGGGCAUGAGCCACCUGCCUGGCCAAGAAAUUCACAUAUUAUAAACUUUUAUAAAUAGCCAAUCUGAAACAUCCUAAAAGAAAUAUCUAAUAUUUAUUGAUUAUUUACAAGAUCCCAGGCAUUGUUCUAGCUGCUUAACAUAAAUUCUUAUUUAAGACUCAGAACAGUUCUGUGAGGCAACUAAAAUGUGCCUAUUCAGUGGAUGAGGAAACUGAAGCAAAGAGAAGUAACUGCCCAAGUUACACAGCUGUUAAGUGCCAGAAUCAGGAUCCAAGUCUAGGCCAUCUGGCUCCAAAGUUUGUACAGGUUGAGUAUCCAUUAUCCAAAGGCUUGGGACCAGAAGUGUUUUAGAUUUUUUAUUUUUAUUUUUUCAGAUUUUGGAAUAUUUGCAUUAUAUAUAUAUUGAGAUAUCUUAGGGAUGGAACUCAAGUCUAAACACAAAACUUGUGUUUCAUACACACUUUAUACACAUAGCCUGAAGGUAAUUUUAUAUAAUAUUUUAAAUCAUCUUGUGCAUGAAACAAAGUUUGUGUGCAUUAAACCAUCAGAAAACAAAGGUGUCACUAUCACAGCCACCCAUGUGGACAAUAUGAUUGUUGGGCAUCACCAUCUUCCUGACUCUGAAUUUGUAUGCUACUGAUAGGCAGUUAUUUUCUUACUUUUUCACACAUAAGUACUUAACAGCAGAAAAUAUGACAUACCAUUAUUACAGUGUGUUCAGGGUAACUUGUAAUGUCAUAUUGGUGCUCAAAAAGUUUCAGAUUUUGGAACAUUUCCGAUUUUGGAUUUCUGGAUUAGGGACGCUCAACCUCUAUCCUUUACUAUGCAGUUUGUCUCCUAAGGAAUUCCUCAUGAGUCCAACACUUUAAGAACUAGUGCUAUAUUCACAGCUUUGAAUAUUUUCCCACCUAAGUUGGAUGCUACAUUUAGGAUGAGGACUAAAUAAUCUGACUCUAUCAAAAAGGGAUCUGAACUAUCAGAGAAAAGAACAUUGACAUAGAUUAUAUUCUUAGGGUCCUGGUAUUGGUGGGAAAGGGGCAGUAACAAGAUAAGACAUGGCAUCUUAAUAUUUGCAGAGAUCUGUGUUAAAGGUUCGGAUUAAGAGCAGCAUGGACUCAUCAUGAAUUUAAAUUAUAAUUUUGAGCUCUACCUCUUGAACCCAAACUCAAUCCAAAGCCAAAAUUCUGAAGAAAUAUAAAAAUUUGAGGAGCAGUGACCAUAACAAAAACCCAUGAGGCCAACCAAGGAAUUGCCACCGCAAGAGAUAUUGGAAACAAGACAGAAAACUUUAUCCUAUUCUUUUUUUCCUCCCCAGCACUUGUGUCACCCAGACCUAUUCUUAAAGGUGAGAUACACCUACAGCAAGAAUUCUGUAUUUAUCUUUUGGUCAUUACACUUUAAGAAAUAGUCAUAUAAAAGGCCCCAACCUGGAGAAGAUCCAGACAACCAGAUAAAAAGGUAGCAGAGCAGGGGUAGGAGGAGAAAAAUAUGACAACAGGCCAAAGACAUUGUGAACCAAGAUAAAAAUGUGAACCAAAUAAAACAUCUAUAAAAAUCUUUUAUUUUUUUAAAAAAAGACAAAAAGGUAUGAGUAAAGUCAUUAUGGACUUCACCAAAUCUCAAAAUAUGGAGAGGAUACUUUAGACUUAAGAGAAUGAAAGCUUUAAUUAACCUUCAAGUCAAUAUCAAGUCUUUCCUCUGUCUGUUGACAACACAAUCCUGGACUGCACAGACUUUUUUUUUUUUUUUGAGACAGGGUCUUGUGCUAUCAUGCAGGCUGGAGUGCAGUGGCACAAUCUCGGCUCACUGCAACCUCCACUUCCUGGAUUCAAGCAAUUCUCCUGCCUCAGCCUCCCAAGUAACUGGGAUUGCAGGUGUGCGCCACCACGUCUGGUGAAUUUGUUUUUGUAUUUUUAGUAGAGACAGGGUUUCGCCAUGUUGGCUAGGCUGGUCUCGAACUCCUGACCUCAAGUGAUCCACCUGCCUCGGCCUCCCAAAGUGCUGGGAUUACAGGCGUGAGCCACUGCACCCAGCGUGCUGUACAUAUCUUGAAUGGACAAUUCCUGGAUGUUUCUACUUUCACCUCCAUGUUUAUCUCAGCACUCUCCUUAAAUCACAUCAACCAUUAGGUUCUUACUAGAUGUAAGACACCAGGUUAUGCCUGGUGUUUUAUAAUAUUAGGUGUACAAUUAUAAAAGAUUUAUAAUCUUUAUAAAUUUAUAUUUUGGUAAUUGCACUUUAAGGAAUAGUCAUAUAAAAGGCCCCAAACUGGAGUUAAAUAAUAUUAACUAACGUUUCAGAACUAUUUGCCAAGCACUUUCAUUCAAUCCUCAUAGGACCAAGAAGAAAUACAGGGGAAUUAAAGUGCUCAAUCCAGUGGAUAAGUCACAGAACUUUGGGACUACCCAAGUCCAAUCAUGCAAACCAGGAUGUAGACUCAGAUAAACGUGACAGAAAACAGUACUCACUUGUAUUAGAAAAAAGCUGCACAAAGCCUAAAAAGGAACCUAAAGAGAAUUUGGCAAUCUUACAGUAACGUUCCCAGGAAGAGAGAUUGAAUUUCAUAGAAGGAUUUCAGUCGCUAAUUCAGGCCACCACUCUGCUCUCAUUACAGGUGCUAGAAGGGUACUAACUUCUGUCGGGGGUUCAUCAGAUUAAUUCCCAACCUGGGUAGUGGAUUCUGUCCACAUUGUCCAACUCCAUUUACUCCGAUGCCAUCUCACCAAACAGCCUUCUGGCUAUUCAGUUGGUUUCCCACAUGCCUUAAUAUGGGCAAAAGCUUCUAGACAGUGGACACUGGAAGGACUACUGCUUAACAUAAUUAUGCAUGGGCAUUUUGGUUGAUCCAGCAUGGUUAGCAUGAGUCUGUGGGUCUGAAAGCCUGAUGAGCUAUGCACUCAGCAACCUUGUGUUUCUGCAUCCACAAAGCUAAGGGCCAGCCUCCUCUAAAGGGAUUUAUACCUUGAGAGGCCCUGCCUGAGUGGCCUACCUUCCUGCUCCCAACUCUGUUUUUUCUUUUUUCCCCCUAGAAUAUUCAGGAAGAACGAACUCAACUCUAUAAUUUGCACAGUUUCAGUGCCAGAUGAAGUUUUGCUCUUUCACCCACGCUGGAGUGAAGUGGCGUGAUCUUGGCUCACUGCAACCUCCACCCACCGGAUCAAGCAAUUCUCCUGCCUCAGCUUCCCGAGUAGCUGGUGUUACAGGUGCCUGCCACCACGCCCGGCUAAUUUUUGCAUUUUCAGUAGAGACAGGUUUCACCAUGUUGGCCAGACUGGUCUGGAACUCCUGACCUCAGGUGAUCCACCCACCUCGGCCUCCCAAAGUGCUAGGAAUACAGGUGUGAGCCGCCGUGCCCGGCCGAAUUCCUGGAAUUUUAAAGGGAUGUGACUGCUAAUUCUUAGAACAAGCUUGUACUUGAAAUACUAGCUUAUUAAAAAUAAAGUUGCAAUGUUACUAGAAGUCUAAACUGGAGGGUGGGGAAUGGGGGAUGCCAGGGUUAAUUCAGGCCAUUUGAAGUAAGUAGAAUUUCUCUUAUCCAUAAAAUGUAAUUUGGGUAAUAACCUUUGAAGAGACUGUUAUUUAGGUAAACUCAUUGGUUAUUACCAAAAAAAUGCAGAGAUCUGAA